rnacentral:rRNA from 1 species
GAUGAACGCUGGCGGCGUGCCUAAUACAUGCAAGUCGAGCGAACAGACGAGGAGCUUGCUCCUCUGACGUUAGCGGCGGACGGGUGAGUAACACGUGGAUAACCUACCUAUAAGACUGGGAUAACUUCGGGAAACCGGAGCUAAUACCGGAUAAUAUAUUGAACCGCAUGGUUCAAUAGUGAAAGACGGUUUUGCUGUCACUUAUAGAUGGAUCCGCGCCGCAUUAGCUAGUUGGUAAGGUAACGGCUUACCAAGGCAACGAUGCGUAGCCGACCUGAGAGGCUGAUCGGCCACCCUGGAACUAAGACACGGUCCAGACUCCUACGGGAGGCAGCAGUAGGGAAUCUUCCGCAAUGGGCGAAAGCCUGACGGAGCAACGCCGCGUGAGUGAUGAAGUUCUUCGGAUCGUAAAACUCUGUUAUUAGGGAAGAACAAAUGUGUAAGUAACUAUGCACGUCUUGACGGUACCUAAUCAGAAAGCCACGGCUAACUACGUG